rnacentral:lncRNA from 1 species
AUCCAGUCAGCUGCUUAGUCACUCUCUCUUUUUUCAUCUUCUAGAUCUGAAAAUGUAUUGCUUUCCUUUUGCUUUUUUUUUCUGAAGAAAGAAAUCCCUUUUGAUCUAUAAAUAGCUGCACAAGGUAAAACUAUGGGGCAAUCUUAAAAAUAUAUUAUAGAGAUGUCAGUUGUGACUCCAUAGCUAAGGUUGUGUUGAGAUCUGAACUUAAAAUUAAGACUAAUGUUCCUCUGCUUCACACUCAGAAGAUUACAUUUAGUGCCCAAAUUUGGCUCAGUAAGUCGUCUGAUGACAAUUGAAUUUUCUGCAUGGUAAUUCAAUACAGUAAUUUACUAACUUUUACUAGAGGAAACAUUUAAAAUUGCUCCCUUUUUGAAAUAUUCUCUUGUUUACUUACACGCACAUACAUUUUGAUAUUAUUACAGGUGUUACCCACUUUUGAACUUUGAAAAUUAAUGACAUUACAAGCUCUUUGCUUUAUUCAAAAUUAUUAUUUUGAGCUACCCAAAGAUUAGCCAGAGGAACUGCUCAGAUCUGUCAGCUGCUUCCGUUUUUCCAAUGCUGUCGGCCUGUUGUCUUAAUUCACCAGCUGUGCACUGCAUGUACCCCAGGUGGGAUGGGAGACAAAAGGAGCAUGGAAUAGAAACUGACCUCCUCAGACACUGAGUCAAGUUUGCUGCUACACAUAUGGACUGAGACGCUCACUCCGAGCCACUUCCUUCCACAUCGCGGACCACUGUAACGGUUAUGUGUGUAUCUAUCUUCUUUCCCUCUCAGCGUCGCGAUCCCCCCUCCCCCCUCCCCCUUC